rnacentral:rRNA from 1 species
AGCAGCCGCGGUAAUUCCAGCUCCAAUAGCGUAUAUUAAAGUUGUUGCAGUUAAAAAGCUCGUAGUUGAAUUUCGAGAUCAAAUUGUUGGUCGUGCCUUGGUACGUACUGGCAUUAUUGGUUUCUCCCUUCUGACGAACCAAGAUGUCAUUAAUUUGGUGUCUUGGGGAAUCAGGACUGUUACUUUGAAAAAAUUAGAGUGUUUAAAGCAGGCUCGCGCUUGAAUACAUUAGCAUGGAAUAAUGAAAUAGGACGUUUGAUUCUAUUUUGUUGGUUUCUAGGAUCGACGUAAUGAUUAAUAGGGAUAGUUGGGGGCAUUAGUAUUCAAUUGUCAGAGGUGAAAUUCUUGGAUUUAUUGAAGACUAACUACUGCGAAAGCAUUUGCCAAGGAUGUUUUCAUUAAUCAAGAACGAAAGUUAGGGGAUCGAAGACGAUCAGAUACCGUCGUAGUCUUAACCAUAAACUAUGCCGACUAGGGAUCGGAUGAUGUUAAUUUUUUAAUGACUCAUUCGGCGCCUUACG